rnacentral:rRNA from 1 species
AACGCGAAGAACCUUACCAAGGCUUGACAUAUACAGGAAUACGGCAGAGAUGUCGUAGCCGCAAGGUCUGUAUACAGGUGGUGCAUGGUUGUCGUCAGCUCGUGUCGUGAGAUGUUGGGUUGAGUCCCGCAACGAGCGCAACCCUCGUCCUGUGUUACCAGCAUUUAGUUGGGGACUCACAGGAGACUGCCGGGGUCAACUCGGAGGAAGGUGGGGAUGACGUCAAAUCAUCAUGCCCCUUAUGUCUUGGGCUGCACGCAUGCUACAAUGGCUGGUACAAAGAGCUGCAAUACCGCAAGGUGGAGCGAAUCUCAAAAAGCCAGUCUCAGUUCGGAUUGGGGUCUGCAACUCGACCCCAUGAAGUCGGAGUUGCUAGUAAUCGUAGAUCAGCAACGCUACGGUGAAUACGUUCCCGGGUCUUGUACACACCG